GCGGUGGCGUGGUGGUAGACGCUACGGUCUCCUACACCGUGCGCUGCGCGGGUUCGAAUCCCGUCCCA